GAGGGUAUAGCUCAGUGGUGGAGUGUGUGCUUAGCAUGCAUGAGGUCCUGGAUUCAAUCCCCAGUACACCA
rnacentral:tRNA from 1 species